rnacentral:ncRNA from 2 species
GCUGAUCGCGCGGGAGAGUUCCUGCGAUUCGCCAGUCGGAUCGCGGGACGCCGAAGGAGCAACCGCCCCGGAAUCUCUCAGGCUUCAGGACCGCGUUGGUCGA